GGACUGUAAAAAUUACUCCGAUUUUUCGUCUUUAAACCCAAAAUAAAAAAACUGUCCAUCGACGAUGUAAACCCGAUUACGUAUUUACGUUACGCGCCCUAGUCGUCCUCAGUCCGUAUAGUCUUUCUCAUUUCUGUUCUGGCGAAUCAAACCAAAUCUGAAUCGAAAUCCUACUCAUCGCCACCAUCAGCACCACCGCCAGCAAAGUCAAUGGCAAAUCCAACAAGCAAGCUGCUGAUCUCGAUGCUGGUAGCUCUCUUCUCGGUGUCAUGUUCGCUUGCUAGCGCAGAUGUUCCCUUCAUAGUAGCCA
rnacentral:misc_RNA from 1 species